rnacentral:tRNA from 1 species
ACUGUAAAACAAUUGAAAGGGAUGUAGCGCAGCUUGGUAGCGCGUUUGUUUUGGGUACAAAAUGUCACGGGUUC